rfam:Tupaia chinensis contig85480, whole genome shotgun sequence.
CUACGGACGCUGAGUUGUAGAAGCAUCACUGUAACUCACAGAGGAGACUAGCAGGGCCUCUGUGCAAGGAUGACAAGCAAGUUCAUGAAGCCCUCCGUGUUUUU